UGCAGCGCGCAGCUCAGAUCCCGCCGGCUCCAGUGCGGAAGGCAGACCCGGCUCACCAUCACACACUUGCCCUCUUUACUUCUCCCCUUCUCGGCGCCUAAGCAAAUCCAUCAGCACGAAGUGGGACCGCCCCUUCGAAACCCCAAAGGCCGGAAGCCAGAAGAGGCUGGGUCAAGGCGCAGGGGGUUGCGGGGAACACAGUGUCGGGAGCCGCAUCCCACCCACUCCAGGGUCUGAAACUCGCAAAGCUGCAGACCCCAGCAUUUGAAGCAGUCUUGCUACGGGGUUCCCGGGAGCUAUAAGUAGAGGGCGCUCACAUGUCAAAAGGGGGCUACGGGGGUGGGACCCUGAACUCGCGGUUAGGACGCUCGCAUCCUGUGCCAGAGUGCCUGGGUCCGAGUCCAGCUCCCACCCGAUGCCAGGAGGCAGCAGGCGAUGGCUCGUGUGCUUGGGUCCCUGCCACCCACGUGCCAGUCCCGAGGGAGCUCCUGGCUCCGGCUCGGCCCAGCCCUGGCUGCUGCCGGCAUCUGGGGAGUGAAGCUGAGGAUGGGAGAGCUCUGCCUCUCAGGAAUUCCUCGGUCCAAUAGAGAGGAAGCAACCUUUGGUCCCUGAAGACAUUCCCAGGACUCACUUUGUGCUGUUUUGAGUUGCGAUGGCCACUGCCAUCGUGUUGCUGGUGUCUGAUUGAUUGAUGGUCGACUACAGUUUUCCUCAUGGCUUGGCUCACUUGUAUGCUAAGUGCCAGGAUAACAAUGCCUUGCUCAGAUCGGCACCGUUGGUUUUGUCAGCUCGCCAAAGUAUUUAAUCCUGUCUUGAACGAGAGCCACGAACAUGUUCUCUGGGAACAAGCAGACCCCUGCCCAUCUGAGGCCUCUUACCUGGGGGUGAAUGUGGAGGCUGUAUUAUCAAAAUAUUGUCUGUGAUUCCCUGAAAAUAUACUGUAAGAGUUGGGGUUAUUUUUGCCUACCUCUUUUCCAUUUGAUUGAAUGACACGUGUUCCAGUAUAUUUUACAGCAAUUAGGGUUUCCUUCUUACAAUAAAAUUUCCUACUGUUUGAACAUUA